CGCACUCUCAGUCUCCGUAGCUCGCUCGCUCUCGGGUUCGGGUGGAAAGGUGGAGACUCUCAGGAAAUCUAUUAUGGUGUAUACCAUAGCUUCCUUUCCCAUGAGAAACUUACCAUGUAGUUGGAAAGAUGAUAUAAAAGGAAACGAUUUCAGUAAUUUUUUAAAGUACCAUCAAUAAUAGAGGAAUGCAAAUUUCAGAAAAAUCUGACCUAGUCUGAAAGGAUCAAGGAAGAUGGCAUGCAAGGGAAUUAUUGAGCUCAAUUUUGAAAGAUGAUUUGGAAUUAUUCGGAGAGGGUAAAAAGAGUUUGUGGACCGAGGGAUAUUCUAGACAGAAGAACAUCAUGAACAAAGACGUAGAGGUGUCAAACAGCAUUCACGAGGCUGGCACAGUGAUUGAUGGAAACAGCAGAUAGGUCUGCUGUCUCGGUGAACACAGCAGGGUGGCAGGUCUGUUGCCUCCAGCUGAGUGGUCACAGGCCAGCAGGGAUAGUUCUGACAGCAGCUGAGAUGGUCAAGUUAAUACCCUGAAGCAAGCUCAGAAAAAGGCUUGAGAAACAUCUGCAGCUCAAGCCUGUCCACAGAGGAUGCUCCAGGAGGUGCAGCUGCAUAAUGGCCAGCUCAGAACCCAGAUCUCCUGCUGCCCGGCACAGUGCCCUUUGGUGACACCUGCUCCCCAUCUCAAGGAUCCACUCUCCAUGGUUUGCCAUCCAGCCCUGGACCCAGGAGGCCUGACCUAUGUAGAUGGCUUCAAGAGUUUCCUUUGGCUUCCGGCUUCAGGUUGGGUCCAGUCAAUGGAAGUGCAGGUUAUUAGCAGAAGACCCUUAGGUGGCAGGAGAAUGGAGGCAGAUAUUUAUUGUCCCAGCUUCCUUCCUGCUGGGUUCCUGACAAGUGUGCUCUGAACCUAGCCAGAGGCCAUAGCUCCUGCCAGGUGGACCCUCCACAGAGCUGCCUCCCCAGGCUAUGUGACCAUUAGCCUUCAUGCUUAGAGGUAAUAACUGCCCCUGAGGUGGCAAACCUUGGGGGAAUGGCACCAUCACUUGUUACCUUCCCUAAACCAUGCCCACACACUUUAAGUAGUCCUUUCUGUUAAAUUCUCCUCCAAGUAUCCAAUGUGAGUUUUCCAUUUGAUUUUUGCCAACACCUUGAAUGCUGAAGUGUGUUCACUCUUUGCCUUUGUGUGAACUAAGCAUAUGGCAAAAAGUGCUAACACAAUCUCGAUUGUGUGGAGAAAUUCUGUACUCUCAAACUGCUUUAUUAAUAUGUCUCAUCUUCCUUUUCUUUAAGAAGAAACCAAAGCUCCAGUUUCCAGCCAGCUCUAAAUCUCUCUUGAGGUCAGCUUGCCCGCAGUCUGUCAGGAUUCAAGGGGUGAUUGCUACUGUUCGGGUUGGACAUUUUACAAUCCAUAUGCAGCCUCCAUCCCCUAGAAUAUGUGAACUAGAAAGAGGACAGAUAUUCUUAUGAUUGUUAUUGAAAAAUUAUUAAGUAAUUUUUUUCUUUUGUGUCCUUUUCCCUCGUAGGCAACUGGUCCUCUCACCAUAGCCUUUCAUUACACAUACACACUCUGUCGCAUUAAAAGGCUAGACUCUAGAAGCCAGAGACAUAAAAGCUUAACCUCUCAUAGUUAAAAAAAUAUAUAAAUGUUAUGGACUGAAUUGUGUACCCUAAAAAUUCACAUGUUGAAGCCAUAACCCAACAAUGUGGCUCUAUUUGGAGAUAUAAAUUUUAGAAGGUAAUUAAGGUUAAAUGAGAUCAUAAAGGUCGGAGCCCUAAUCUGAUAGUAUUAGUGGCCUUAUAAGAAGAAGAGAUCACACUUUGUCUCCCUUCCUGUCUCCCUGGCCCCCUCCCCCCACACCACUGCCGUCCCCACCGCGUGAGGACACAGCGAGAAGGUAGUUGUCUACAAGCCAGAAAGAGGGUUCUCAUCAGGAACUGAACCAGCCGGCACCUUGAUCUUGGACUUCCCAGCCUCCAGAACUAAAGAGAAAUAAAUAUCUGUUGUUUAAGC
rnacentral:lncRNA from 1 species